rnacentral:rRNA from 1 species
UGUACACACCGCCCGUCGCUACUACCGAUUGAACGGCUUAGUGAGGUCUUCGGAUUGGCUUUGGGGACCCGGCAACGGGACCUCAUUGCUGAGAAGUUGAUCAAACUUGGUCGUUUAGAGGAAGUAAAAGUCGUAACAAGGUUUCCGUAGGUGAACCUGCGGAAGGAUCAUUA